rnacentral:lncRNA from 1 species
AAAACAGCACCACCUGCUAGUUGACUUCAAAACAUGAGCCUUCAAGACUCCAAAUAUUAUGAGAGACCUUUCUCAUUCAAAGCACUCUUGGAGCUUGAACUGGGCUUACUGUGGUCCUGGGCUGCAUAGGAAAGCAGGCUGAGCAAGACAUAGAGAGGAAGACAACAAGUACCACUCCAUGGCCUACUUCAGUUCCUGCUUUGAAUUACUGCCUUGACUUCUCAAGAUAAUGGACUACAAAUGGAUAUGGGAGGCUUGAGCAAAUACUAUGAAUCUCUCAAGGAGCUAUGGAUUACCUUAAAAGGCUAGACAACAGAGCCACGGCACAGGAAGUCUGCCCUGGAUGCUAUCCUGCUGGGAAUUGGCCCUCUGAAACAGAUCCAUCCACCCGAUGAGUCAUGACAUUAAAAAUGAUGAAGGAAAUGGACUGGUCCCCAGACAAACAGCUCGGGGCAAUACGAUUCCUGCAUCCAAAGGACUAUGGGUUACAGACACCUCUCUCUUCUGGGAUACAACGUGUAAAAGCCGGAUUGAGAUCUCUAUGCCUGUUCUUCAACUGCUGUGGCUACCACUAUUCCAAGAGACAGAAUAAGAAAGUUAAAGACAACAAGAAAUGGGUCUGUAAGGCCCGAAGUGAGUGGUGUGGCAAACGACUGGACUCACUCACAUGAAUAUAAGGCUAAUCCAUUCAGGAACAGACUAAGUCUCGUCCUGACCUACUUGUCGUUUUUCUGUAAAGACCACUCGAGGUUUUAUCAACUUGAUCAACAGUAAGAGAAAUGCCAAGAUUUCAGGCUGUGGACUGUGUUCCAGUGGCAAGCAGCAGAGAUCCAUGUUUAGCUUGUGUUUCCUUGUGAUUCAAGGGCCCAUGGCAUGUCUCUGGAUAAGCAGAUUGCCAUGGAUCGAGGUACUCGGCCCUGAGUGGAGAGAGUGAGGGAAUGAAGAACAGACAAACAGACAAACAGGCAGGCACAAGGAAAGCUGGGAUCAGGUAAUCUGAGCGUGGAAGGAAGGAGACGCACAGCCACGGGAGCUCAGCGUGUAUAUUAUCCAGAGGUGAAAAGGAGAUUAUUAACACGGUGGCAGAAGGAGAAGCUAUAAAUAAAACAAGCUUUAUCCAAAUUAGGAAGAGCUAACAAAGACAACUCAGAAAGUGAAAGUGAACCAAGAAGAUUGCGUUGCUCUCAAGAAACGAUGUUAAUUAAAACUUUAGAAAGCAUGAU